CUACGGGACGCACCAGUGAGGAAUAUUGCACAAUGGGGGGAACCCUGAUGCAGCAACGCCGCGUGGAGGAUGACGCAUUUCGGUGUGUAAACUCCUUUUAUAUGUCAAGAAAAUGACGGUAGCAUAUGAAUAAGCACCGGCUAACUCCGUGCCAGCAGCCGCGGUAAUACGGAGGGUGUAAGCGUUACUCGGAAUCACUGGGCGUAAAGGACGCGUAGGCGGGUUGGAAAGUCAGGUGUGAAAUCCUACAGCUUAACUGUAGAACUGCACUUGAAACUUCUAAUCUAGAGUAUGGGAGGGGGAGAUGGAAUUAGUGGUGUAGGGGUAAAGUCCGUAGAUAUCACUAGGAAUACCUAAAGCGAAGGCGAUCUCCUGGAACAUUACUGACGCUAAGGCGUGAAAGCGUGGGGAGCAAACAGGAUUAGAUACCCCCGUAGUC
rnacentral:rRNA from 1 species